rnacentral:tRNA from 1 species
UCCCUGAUAGCCUGGUGGUUAAGACCCUGCACUUCCACUUCAGGGGAGCAGGGUUCUAUCCCUGGUCAGGGAA